UACGGUUACCUUGUUACGACUUCACCCCAGUCAUGAAUCUCACCGUGGCAAGCGCCCUCCUUGCGGUUAGACUACCUGCUUCUGGUGGAACCCACUCCCAUGGUGUGACGGGCGGUGUGUACAAGACCCGGGAACGUAUUCACCGCGACAUGCUGAUCCGCGAUUACUAGCGAUUCCGACUUCACGGAGUCGAGUUGCAGACUCCGAUCCGGACUACGACGCGCUUUCUGAGAUUAGCUCCCCCUUGCGGGUUGGCAACCCUCUGUACGCGCCAUUGUAUUACGCGUGAAGCCCUACCCAUAAGGGCCAUGAGGACUUGACGUCGUCCCCACCUUCCUCCGGUUUGUCACCGGCAGUCUCAUUAAAGUGCCCAACUAAAUGAUGGCAACUAAUGACAAGGGUUGCGCUCGUUGCGGGACUUAACCCAACAUCUCACGACACGAGCUGACGACAGCCAUGCAGCACCUGUGUUAUCGUUCCCUUUCGGGCACACCCACAUCUCUGCAGGUUUCAAUACAUGUCCAGGGGUAGUAAGGUUUUUCGCCUUGCAUCCAAUUAACCCACAUAACCACCGCUUGGUGUGGGUCCCCGUCCAAUCCUUUGAAGUUUAAACCUUGGGAACGUACUCCCCAGGGGGUCAACUUCACGCCUUUGCUACAUUACCCAGCCCGUUUAAAACCCAAAAACUAGUUGAAAUUC
rnacentral:rRNA from 1 species